CACCCACUCAACCUCCCAAAGUGCUGGGAUUACAGAUGUGAGCCACCACACCUCGCCAGAAGCUGAAUACAUUAAGAGCCUAUACUGCAUUAUGUACCAGGCCCUGUGGCUUACACAACCAGGACAACAAUCUGGCUCCUGAGUGGGCCCCUGCUUCAGCGCCGGCUGGUGUUCUGAGCCUGCACUGGCUCUGAUGUACCCAGACGCAGCAUCGUAUUGAGGUCCUGAGCCUUUUUCCUCAGUCAGAGUGAACAGAAGCAGGUUCCAAGCUGUUACGGGGUUAAAACCCUGGUGAGCCCCUUUAUGGUAUACGAGAACAACUCUAAGAUUUCCUCGAGACCUUGAAUUACGGGAAAAGAAUCAUACGCUUGAGGAACCCUGAUGACAGGUGCCUACUGAUGACUCAGUGGAGAUCACUUUUAUUUACAUUAAUUGAGUUUUUUUUCUUUGUAAGGUUUGUGUCAUGUCUCUCCAGCUGGUCUCUUGGAUUCUAGAAGACAUAGCCUCACUUUUAUUCUUCAACUCAUUUUAAAUUUUGAAUAUUUUUCAGUACAGCAAAAAUGUUGAAUGUUCAGAAUUUGCAUCUCAUCAGAACUGAGUUCCAGUGCUGGGAAAUUACCAGAUUCAUUUUUUCAAUCAAUCUGAAAUGUCAGAAGACUUCAGCAGAUUCCAGCUUACCGAAUUAAGAUUUUGCCUUAUCCCGUAGUUAGUAGUGGGCAAACUCAGGCUUGCCUUAGAAUCAUCUGGAUGGCUUGUCAAAACACAGAUUGCGAGGCCUACUCUCAGAGUUUCUGACUGCUGGGGAGAGACUUAGUUGUAACAAGUGCCCAGAUGAUGUAAAUGCUGAAGGUUCGAUGGCCACACGCAGACACCUCCUGCUUCAUUCUGUUCAUUCAAGCUUUACAGAAGCACCUGGCUCAAGGUCCUGCCUUGUUUAUAAAACAGAGAUGUUAAAUGGAUAAUCUGAGAGAUACAAGUUGCCAGCCAUUGGGAUUACAAAUAUGAUGUAGAUUCUCCUUCAGGGGAGCUCACAGUUUACUAGAAGGAACACACAAACACACACACACACACACACACACACACACAGUAUUAUACUGUGAUAAAGUAAUCUCAAAGGAGCUUAUCAUAGUUUAAUUAAAAGAAUCAUACUUAGAACAAAUUAGCAAACAUGACAAUUUGCUGGAUUAAUUAAUAAAUAAAUAUUUUAAUUUAGUUUGUAUUUAUUUUUAUGAUAUCAUAAAAUUUACAUACACUGAAGUGAACAAAUCCCAAAUGUACUGUUUGAUGAGUUUUGAUAAACGGGUACAUCCAUGUAACCCCUACACCUAUCAAGAUAGAGAAUGAUAUUGUUUGGCUGUGUCCCCAUCCAAAUCUCAUCUUGAAUUGUAGCUCCCGUACUCCCCAUGUGUGGUGCUGUGAUAUCAUGGGAGGGAACCGGUGGGAGGUGAUUGAAUCAAGGGGGCUGAUUUUUCCCAUGCUGUUCUCAUAAUAGUGAAUAAGCCUCAUGAGAUCUGAUGGUUUUAUAAAGACCAGUUCCCCUGCACAUGCUCUUUUGCCUCUGCUGUGUAAGAGGUGCCUUUGCUCCUCCUUCACCUUCUGCCAUGAUUGUGAGGCCUCCCCUGCCAUGUGGAACUGUGAGUCUUUUUUAGAG